GCCCCCGCGCCCGCAGCCCGCCCCAAGCGGGGUGCCCGCCCCGCCCGCAGCCAGCCGGCCCGGGGUAUAAACAACCUUUGCACCCUUCGCAAAGGAGAAAGAGGGUGCCGCGCGAAGGAGGGGUAGGCCUUUCUGACCUGUCUAGCCCCUCUGGGCCUGCAGGGGAUGCUGCCUGCUCUCCCUCCCGCAGAGGACCUCUGCCCCCGCCAGAACUAACCCCCCAACCGCUGGAUAACUGACUGGGAGCUUUGGCUUCCUGGGGCCACGGGCUGUUGUGUGGCCGUGGACAAGUCCCUGGAACUCAGGACUCGCUGUCUGUAAUGGUCUGUCUGAUGGGCCAGCUGCCCUGGGCCUGCCCAUCCUGCAGAAUGGAUGAGACACUCUGCCUGCUCCCUUUAAGGGAGGUGCAUUCCACCCUCCAGCCACCAGGAACCCUCCCAGAGCAGUUCCCCGACACCCAGUUCUCCACAUCUCUCGGCAGUUUGCUCCGUCGGUGAAGCUCAUCACCUCUCAUUCCUCCUGGCAAACAGCCUCAGUGCCCCUUCCUUCUUGUAGGGCAAUGAUGUGGGUGUUGCUCUUACCCUCUCAAACUCACUAGUUCUCUUUGGCCCUCCACUCAACACAGAGUUAGGCAUACAGUAGGUGCUCCGUAACUGCUGGUUAUACAAGAUGUGAGAGCCUUUGGGGAACAGUAGGCUCUCCUUACCCUGCACCCCUGUGGCAUCAGGAGCCGCAGGGGCGGGGAGGAGGGGAGGGUGUGCCUCGGAGUCCCGCCACACCCGCUGCACUUUGCUUUGUUAGUUUCAGUUUAGUCUGAGACUACUUGAGCAACCAGCGUGCCCGUGCUGACGGGGCGCCAGCAGACCUCAGAGGCAGGACCUUGGCCCCAGACAUCUCCAUACUCUCUGUGCCCAGCUCGGGGCCUGGCACACUCACUGGCUGCUUCUCUCCUCCCUAAUGGGCAGGCCUCACUACAGGUGGGAGGAGCCUCAUAACAGCUCUCAGCUAUGGCGAGAGCCUCCCAACUGGGAGCCCACCUGAGCGUGGAAUCCUGGUGGGAAGUUGCGAGGCUCCAGGAUCAAAGUUCAGGCCAGGAUGAGAUGCCAGGCAAGGUUCCCUCCCCCAUCUCCCUUUUCCCAACGUGGCCAGUGACUAUGGGUGGCACGGUAAGGGAACCUCAGGUAACACCCUUUCAGUCCCUCAGAAAGUCUCUGGACUACGUGGUGCCCCUGCUCUGUUCCAGCCAAGCCUCCAGCCCAGACCACACUGGGCCCGGGCUUGUCUGUUUCUCUAACUGGUCCGAAGCUCCUUGAGGGCAAGGCUUGGCUUGUACCUCUGUCCCUCCUAGAUUUGCCCAGUCCUGAGGCCCAGCUCUGUCCUGGGGAGGGGUCAGUACCUGUGGGUUGUAGCAGCAGCUGGGGUGGAAACCACUAGAGCCUUUUUAUCAGGCUCAGCUGUUGUCCCCAUCCCUGUCCUGGUCUCCAGACUCCCCUUCAGCCAGACCCAAGGGUCCUGGGCAAGAGGUGCCUAGCUUUUCAGAGUCGGAUUCAGGCAGGGCUGCUGUGCCUCCUAGCUGGGUGAUGGGUAGAUUUUAGGCCCUCCCUUGUCACACUUGGAUGUUGAAUCAUAGAAGGACGGACUCUCCAAAGGCAGUGAAGGUUACAGGCUGCUUCUUAGAAGAGUGUUGUAAUCAGACUUACGGACUCAGAAGUGUUCAUCAGUGGGUGUCGGGAUCAUGGCCUUUCUAACUGCAGACACAGAAGGGGGACCACAGAGGUCCCCAGCCAAUCCCUCCUGGGGCUCUUCCCCAAUACAGGGGCCUGUUGACCGGGGUGGUUAUCUGGCCGGUCAACAGGCCCCUGUAUUGGGGAAGAGCUGGUCUUAGCUGGCUCCUGCUGAAUCUUUGGGGGCCCAGCAGUGUGCCUGUCACAGGGUCUCAGAUAGCAGGAAAAGAGACAGUUUAAGGGUGUGGAGGCAGCCAGCUGGCCAGUCUCUGGCUCUCACUAGCUGGGUGACCUCAGGUGGGACACUUCACGUCUCUGAAUCUCAGCAUCCAUCCUCCUUGGUAAACUGGAAACAACAGUACCUACCUCGCAGAAGGGUUAAGUGAAUUAAUAUAUGAUAGAUACUUAGAAAAGUGCCUUGCGCUGUUUCUUGUCACCAUCAUUAUUCGGUUUGCCAAGUCAGGAAUGGAAAGACCCCCCACCCCCAUUCCUGCCCCAGUGACCCCUGUGUGUGUCUAGCUGCUUCAGGAAAGUGAGGCUUUUUCUCACGUGCUAUAGCAUAUCCUCCAGCGAGGCUGGUAUCACUGUCCCCAUUUUACAGGUGAAUAGCCCGAGGCUUCUGGCCCCAGGUCCCCAGCUGGGAAAGUAGUAGAGGCCAAGCUAGGAAGCAGAUCUGACAGUCUCCUAAGCCCACGUGGGCUCUCCUGGUGUAUCAGACCCAGACAACAUUGCCUGGGAGCUCCAGAAAUGCUUGGAGCAACCCCUGUGGUUGCUUUGAGUCACCUGGCAGCCUCUGUGCAGAUUUGUCUAUGAAAGCUGUUUGGGCAGCGUGUGCUGGUAAGGCUUGAGCAGGAAGUGGUCAGGGAGGUCAGCGACUGGGUGGUGGUGACUGCAGGGGUCAGUAGCAGGGGCUGCAGAAGCAAAAACAUUCCAUUUGAGACACUCUGACAAGUCGCUUGUUUAUAGCAUCCAGCAGUGCUGCUCUCUGUGUGGACUUCCACCCAGAGCACCCGGGGCCACAGUGAGACCUUGGGGGCUCUAAAAACUCCCUCCCCUUCCUCCACAAGCUCAAAGGACUUUGCAGGAAAUCCUGGGGUGGCGCAGAGGUCUGAGGACUCCAUUUGAAUCCUGAUAGCCCUGGAGAGUGUGGAUUGAGUCCAGCCCCAAGAGGACAGCCUGACAGAGGCGGUGCGGAGGGCUCGGGAGGUAGGGGGCAAUGUCCCAUCUGGUAGACAUCUCAAGACUGCAGGCCCGGACUCAGUGCCUAAUGUGCGACUUCUCAGCCUCACUUCCCGUUUCACAGGGCAGUUAGAGGCUUAAGGCGGGAGGCUGCAGGCAUCAGGUCUACCAUGGUGUCAGGUCUGGGGGCUCCUCUGGCCUGCCAUGCUGAGCCGGUGCCCUGGUUGGGAGGCCCAAAGAGACUUGGGGAAGGGGUGUGUUGAGAGACAGGCAGACUGGGCACAGUGGCCCGCCACUGCAAUCACAGCACUUUGGGAGGCCGAGGCAGGUGGAUCUUAAGCCCAGGAGUUCCAGACCAAGCCUGGGCAACCUGGCAACACCCCGUCUCUAUAAAAAACAAAAUUAGCUGGGCGUGGUGGCACAUGCCUGUGGUCCCAGCUCCUGAGGAGGCUGAGGGGGUAGGAUUGCCUGAGCCCAGGACGUCCAGGCUGCAGGGAGCUGUGUUCACAACACUGCCCUCCAGCCUGGGUGACAGAGAGACCUUGCCUCAAACAAAAACCAAAAAACCCACCAGGCAAGGGCAGGCUCCCAGGCUCUCGCCACUUCUCCAUAAACAGAUGAUCAGUGUGCUGUGGUUGCUGAAAACCAACAUUAACUGCUGCCUCAGCCAAACCAACAGAAAUGGAAGUGUGGCUUCGAGGUCUGGGAAGUCCCACUGCUCUUGGCAUGGCACUGGGGGCGGGGUCACCCUUCAAGAGACCACUGAACGCGCCCCCCAGUGCACCGCAUCCCAGCCCGAGACUGCGGAGUGCAGCGGCCCGGACUCUGUGUGUGGCAACACGCAAGGAAAGCAUCUUCCUCAAAAUCACACAGCAAGCCAGUGAUCCAGCCAGAACCAGCCCCAGACUCCCAGCUCACAGUGCCACCUGUUCCCAAUGCCGACCGGACCCCUCCCCACCACGGCCAGUGACAAGACUGCGCUCCAGGGACCUCUGUCACCCUCCAGAAAAGAGGGAUCACCCAUCUCAAUCCCAAAGGCUGGGCUGCAGUCCUGAGGCUGAGACUUGGAGAAGACACAGCUGGAAGUGAGGAGAGGCCCUCUUCCCUGGGCCAUUCUGCAGCUACUGUGCACACAGACAACAGGACUUUCAUCUUCACUCACUGGCUGGCAGCAGAGAGCAGCUCUGUGCCCGCCUGAAGCUAACUGCCCACUCGAGGGACACCUGCCGGGCUAGACACCAUGCUGGCUGAGCCACAGUGUCCCCAUGAGUACAAGAACAGGGCUUGACUGGGGGCAAUGCUGAAGGUCCUGUCAGCCUUGGCAUGUGCCAGUGAGGCUGACUGGUACCACAGAGGGCUGGGGGAUCCUGUGGAUGGCCCUGGAACUAGCUGCGGAUGGGAAGGAGGCAGCAGGUCACCAGCCAGCCUGACCUCUGCCUGCCCUGGAAUACUGUCAGCCAAGUUCACCCCAGAUCUGACCUAGAGAAGAUAAGUGAUCUCGUUUCUAGCAAAUCCUGAAAAAGUGAGGUCCAAACUGAAGCGCUACCUGACAGGCAAAGGCAAGAGUACCAGGAGGCUGGGGCAGCUGGAUCUCUUCUAGCUCUGCCUCUUAGAGGCCGGAGAUCAAGUGUACUGAUGAUGCCCUGGAUGUGUCAGGCCCUGUAGAUGCUUUGAAGGUUGUCUGAUUAAUCCUCAAACCUUCAAAGGGAAGGGCGAGGUUCUCAGCCCUCUUUUAGGAUAAGAAAAUGGACUCAGAGGCGUUAAAUGACCUGCCCAGGGUCACACAGCUGGAAAGUGGCAGAGUCUGGACUUGGACUGAGCAUGGCCUGACUGCCAGCAUCUGAACACAACUUUGACACUUGGCUGUGUGAUCCUGGCGGGGUCGGGGGGAGCGGAGGUGACAGCCUCAUCUGCAAAAUGGAGACAGCAGCCAGGUGCAGUGGCUAAUGUCUGUAAUCCCAGCUGUGUGGGAGGCUGAAUAAGCCCGGGCAACAUUAGCCAGUGCCUGUGGUCCCAUCUACUCGGGAGGCUGAGAUGGGAGGAUUAGUCAAGGACAGAAGUUUGAGAUCAGCCUGAGCAAUAUGGUGAGACCCCAUCUCAAAACCAAAGAGAGGUGGGCGCAGUGGUUCAAGCCUGUCAUCCCAGCAUUUUAGGAGGCCGAGGCGGCCAUAUCACUUGAGGCCAGGAGUUCAAUAUCAACCCGGCCAACACGGGGGAAACCCGGUGUCUUUAAGAAACAAAUUAACCAGGUGUGGUGGCACACACCUGUAGUCCCAACUACUCAGGAGCCUGAGGUGGGAGGAUCGCUUGAGACGGGAGAGGUCGAGGCUGCCUGAACACCCUCUUUGACAGACAGAAACCCUGUCCCACCCCUGCCACGGAGAGCAGUGAGAACCAGCCCCCUCUGUAGCCCCAGGGCCUGCUCUACUCCCCAGGCACAGGCUGCAGGCUGCCCUGGCACUUCUGGCUCCUGCGCCCCCACACUUUGCCUCUGAGAGGAAACCAGAAGGAAGCUGGUGGCUCAGGGCUCUGCCGAUGCGACUUGGGGACAGGAAGCGCAGCGCGCACCUCGCUUCUCCUGUGGCGGUGGCACCGCAGCUGCUUGCGGGGGGUCUGGUGGUCCUGCAGUACUUCCCUACUCACCAACUGCAGCUCAGGUAGCUGCCGCCCAGGGCUGGCUCCACAGGGGAAGGUAAACCUUGUAUAAGCGCUCGUUCACCAUCCUUUACCUCUGUAGAAUGGGGUAAAGGUCUCCCUGAGGUUACCCUUGGCUCUGAAUGAAGAGGGGAGGCUGCGUGGGGCUUGUAUAAGUGGCUUCAGGGAGGGUACUGGCUGGUGGCUUCACAACGGGGCUCACAACGAGGCCUCCUUCCCUCAGCUCUCCCUCCACACCCCAGGUCAUUUUCCUUUAUUUGCUUAUGGACAAUGAGUCAGAGCAGCAGAGUCGCUCAGAGUGUGGCUUCAGGAUCAGAGCCUAGCUCACGUCCUGGAGCCUUUUCUGCACAAGUCACACAGUCUUUUUCUUUUGAGAUGGAGUCUUGCUCUGUCACCCAGGCUGGAGUGCAAUGGCGUGAUCUCGGCUCACUGCAACCUCUGCCUCCCCAGUAACUGGGACUACAGGCAUGCAUCACCAUGCCCAGCUAAUUUUUGUAUUUUUAGUAGAGACAGGGUUUCACCACGUUGGCCAGGCUGGUCUCAAACUCCUGACCUCAGGUGAUCUGCCUGCCUCGGCCUCCCACAAGUGCUGGGAUGACAGGCGUGAGCCACCGCGCCUUUCUACACUGCCACCUCCUCAUCGUGCAGUGGGGCUAUUCAUGGCACCUGCCUGUGGGGACUGUGAGGGUCGUCUAAAACAGGACAGAGUGCAGCAGUGGGCACUGCACCUAAGGAAGCCCUCCUGGAACCCAGGCAGACCCUGCCCAGGGUGGCCUGGGCUCCUGUUGCUUCUUCAAGGCCUUCAGGCCUGGUUUUUGCUUCAGAACUGGCUCAGGAGACCACAGUCUGAAUCUUGGCUUCCAAUACAUCCCUGAGGAGUCCGUUGAUCAGGCGAUCGGGCCUAACAUCUCUGCUCUUCAUCCCUUCAGCGGCUGUGAGGAGGCGGCUCUUCUGCAGCUCAGCUCUCGGAGGGGGCUGCUGCCCUGAAGUCAGCUGGGACCACUUUGCUUCUUCCCCGGGGUGAGCCUGAUCCCUGCUGGGCUCUGGAGCCUAAGCCUGCCAGGAGUAACAGCAGGCCUGCCCCUGGACCAGCUUGGAUCACCGUGUCCCUUGUGCCCGGGCUUCAGCUUCUCUGGAGCCUCUGGGUGCUGUGGAGCCCAGAGCCCUCUCUCUCUUCUUGGUGGAUAAAGAAACUGCUGAACUUUU